rnacentral:lncRNA from 1 species
GGUAAGAAAUAAUUUUAUAUUGCAUAAUAAGAAUACUUAAUGAAGCAUUGGGGCAUAAGAAUACAUAAAUGACUCCAUGGUCAACUCUUUAGCAAGAUCUGCACUUCAAUCCAAAAGUAAGAGAUGUCUGUUGCUGAUCAGUUGCUAAACGAUGAAACAUUCAUACGGACAUUAUCACCCACUAACUGGUAAACUGGCACACAAAAUACACAUGCACAAGGUAAUGGCUCUAUGGGCGUCAAAAACAUCACCGAUCCAUACCUGCACACGAAUUGAUGAACAAAGGUGAGGACACGCGUGGCUGGCAAGGCAGGAGGAAGCAUUGGCAGGUAAGGAGGGAACUGCAACCAAGGGAACCAUAGAGAACAUCAGUGGCGGGCACAACAAUGGAAGAAAUUGAAUAAGCUAAUUCUUUUAGUGUUCAGAAGUACCGUACAAAAUAACCAAAUGCCACCACUAAUUCUUUAGCAUGUACCAUAAUCAAGCGUCAUUGGAAAUUUCAUUUAGCAGGGAAUCUAAAAGGAGAGAGAUAAAUAUACCAAUUGACAUGGAAGAUCCUAUUGUGCUUGUUUGCAUUCUCAAAUCACCGUGUUGAUGUUAAAUUUAUUCCUGAAGAUAGAACUAAGGCAUCACAAAAUAUUUGAAUGACUGGAGCGUAGAGGAAUCUGGGAAGCUACAUCAGUGUUCAGGUUCACCCAUGAACGAAAUGAUAUCACCCCCUACCAAAUCCAGCAAUCAGUUCAGUGCGGAUGCACUAAACGCCAGAAUCCGAACCUAGCCAAGCAUAAAUUUGCCAUUCAACAAGAGAAAAUUGAAAUUAUGGGCUGGAGGAAGUACGCACUGGGAUGGUACUUCUCGACCAGCAGCAUCACCAUGCCAUCCCCAGCUUAUGCAUUUUUUACAACGUCAUCUUCAAACAGUAGCUAGCAUGUGCAGUUUGGCAAGGAAUGAAUAGUCUGCAUGUGGUGAUCUGCACAUAUUAUGAACAUACAUACUAAGGCUUUAGUUCAAAUAAAUUAGUCCUAUUGAAUUAGUAAUGUACUGUGCUGAUUAUUAGUCCGACCAUGCAAGUACAAGAAAAUCAAUACAGUAGUGCAAGGUCAUACAAGAAAACUGGUCCUACAAAACUAAUUCUUUUAGUGUUCAGAAUUUAUCACCUCAAAUUUGUUAGAACGUACAGGCCAAAAACAUUUUCUGCAAAUACAAUAUAUGCAGAACUUGGUUCUGUUUACAGUACACAUGCCUGCAAGCUUAGCUGCUUCAGUUCGCUGGGAAUAGAGGCUAGCCCAACUUAAAUGAGAUAUGAUAGCUUCUUUAUGGUCUAACAUUCUUGCCAAUACAUUUACCUAGUCACUCAGGCUCCUUUAGUUCUGUGCUAACCUUUAGUUCUACAAAAUUAACAUAUACUGAGAUCUGUUCAAGCUCCUUAAAAAAUAGCUAUAUUAGACGGUUCCCAAAUUCAACAAAAGGUGGGUUCAGCCAUGCGUGCUAUCAAAGACCUGACCACUUGAAUUUAAAGCAAGAUGACAGUUUUAUGUACGACCAAACAAGGGCGCAGGUGACAAGAUCUCUGCAAAAAUCAAGCCAUUCAAAUGCAUUUGAGAUCAAAAUACAUCAUGCAGGGACAAAUGGUAUUAGCUACGCUGUCGUUAUUCUACUUUGUUUCUUGAGCAGCGACUCAAUUAAUAUUCUCACUGAUCCAGUUUACUCAAGAACUUCUGAACCAGUUCAGGACUCCUAUGGACUAAGGUACUCUAGCUGCUUGCAUCUUUCAGAGGAUCUAAUUAGAACCAAUUCUAUGGGUGGUUUAUCUUUUUAGAACUAUUAGCAUUCACUCAGUGGAGAAGUGCAAGCAGGAGCUGACUUCAGUUGGAAUAAGUGUGCUAGAAAAUGUGGCCAAUAGAUUGUACGUCGGCAAAGUACGAACUGAAACACUUGAGGAUCCCAGUGUUAAAAGUGGAUGUUAAAUUCAGACCUUAUCAAUGCAGGGUGUGAAUCCCAAACACUAAACACGAUCUGCAGGCAUAAAAAGAAACAAAUAAUCUUUAGAUUCUCCCCUGCAGAAUAGUAAAAUAAUAACAUUUUGAUUCCUGGACAACUCCUUCCUCCAAAUCACAUUCAGGUGACCCUUCUCCACUCUCAAAUCCUCCUUCUGGGGCCGAAGAUUUGGAGGGCCGCAUCUCAGAUUCUCAAAUAGAUAAUAGAGCAAGUAGAAACCAAUCCAAUCCAAUCCUCCUGCAGCAGCAGAGAGGGAGCUGCACGAGCGCGAACACGAACAGAGGACAACAACCAUCCGCUUGUGUGAGAAAUCUGAAUCAGAGGACCAAAUCGAAUAGAGACAGACGCGUGGAGGAGGUGAAGAGGGAUGAGAGGGCACCUUGACGAGCUCCGUGGCGUCGACGUCCCGAGAAGAAGCACACGGACGGGGGACGGCCGGUGGGCGGAGCGACCGCUCACAGACGGGAAGCUCCGGCGCGGGCUCAGCGGCCUCGCGGCGCCGACGAGGGGAGGAAGUGGCAGCUCACGCCGGCCAUCGUCGUGGCUCUCCCUGUCGACUGCCGCUCGCUUCUUCCCACCGCUUCCCGCUGUCCACCCCGUCGUGGCUCUCCGCCUCUCCCUGCCGGCUGCCGCUCGCUUCUCCCCACCGCUUCCCGCUGUUCACCCCUGCUUGGAGACGACCUGAGCCCGAUCUGGACCAGGCGAUGACCUGAGCCCGAUCUGGACCAGGCGCCGUCGAAGGAGGAGGGAGGUGACGUCCGGCACUCCUGGUGACGUCCGGG